AUUGAACGCUGGCGGCAGGCCUAACACAUGCAAGUCGAGCGGAUGAAGGGAGCUUGCUCCUGGAUUCAGCGGCGGACGGGUGAGUAAUGCCUAGGAAUCUGCCUGGUAGUGGGGGAUAACGUCCGGAAACGGGCGCUAAUACCGCAUACGUCCUGAGGGAGAAAGUGGGGGAUCUUCGGACCUCACGCUAUCAGAUGAGCUUAGGUCGGAUUAGCUAGUUGGUGGGGUAAAGGCCUACCAAGGCGACGAUCCGUAACUGGUCUGAGAGGAUGAUCAGUCACACUGGAACUGAGACACGGUCCAGACUCCUACGGGAGGCAGCAGUGGGGAAUAUUGGACAAAGGGCGAAAGCCUGAUCCAGCCAUGCCGCGUGUGUGAAGAAGGUCUUCGGAUUGUAAAGCACUUUAAGUUGGGAGGAAGGGCAGUAAGUUAAUACCUUGCUGUUUUGACGUUACCAACAGAAUAAGCACCGGCUAACUUCGUG
rnacentral:rRNA from 1 species